rnacentral:snRNA from 1 species
AUCGCUUCUCGGCCUUUUGGCUAAGAUCAAGUGUAGAUUACAGGUGUGAGCCACUGUGCUGGCCAAAUUAAUUUUUAAAGGCUAGCCUAGUUCAAAUAAUUUCAUGUUCCCUUUCUUUUUCCAAAAUAUGCUUUUCUAAGUCUUCUACAAUUCUAGAAGACUUAGCAUGGUUU